rnacentral:rRNA from 1 species
AUUGAACGCUGGCGGCAUGCCUUACACAUGCAAGUCGAACGGCAGCACGGGAGCAAUCCUGGUGGCGAGUGGCGAACGGGUGAGUAAUAUAUCGGAACGUGCCCAGUCGUGGGGAUAACGUAGCGAAAGCUACGCUAAUACCGCAUACGAUCUAUGGAUGAAAGCGGGGGAUCGCAAGACCGCGCGCGAUUGGAGCGGCCGAUAUCAGAUUAGGUAGUUGGUGAGGUAAAGGCUCACCAAGCCGACGAUCUGUAGCUGGUCUGAGAGGACGACCAGCCACACUGGGACUGAGACACGGCCCAGACUCCUACGGGAGGCAGCAGUGGGGAAUUUUUGGGACAAUGGGCGCAAGCCUGAUCCAGCAAUGCCGCGUGCAGGAUGAAGGCCUC